UCCGUAGGUGGAUAAUUAAGUCAGAGGUGAAAUCCUGCAGCUCAACUGUAGAAUUGCCUUUGAUACUGGUUAUCUUGAGUCAUUAUGAAGUGGUUAGAAUGUGUAGUAUAGCGGUGAAAUGCAUAGAUAUUACACAGAAUACCGAUUGCGAAGGCAGAUCACUAAUAAUGUACUGACACUGAGGGACGAAAGCGUGGGGAGCGAACAGGAUUAGAUACCCUGGUAGUCC
rnacentral:rRNA from 1 species